UACAGAGGUCUCAAGCGUUGUUCGGAUUCAUUGGGCGUAAAGGGCGCGUAGGCGGCGGGGUAAGUCGGGUGUGAAAUCUCAGGGCUCAACCCUGAAACUGCACUCGAUACUGCUCUGCUUGAGGACUGGAGAGGAGACUGGAAUUCACGGUGUAGCAGUGAAAUGCGUAGAUAUCGUGAGGAAGACCAGUGGCGAAGGCGGGUCUCUGGACAGUUCCUGACGCUGGGGCGCGAAGGCCAGGGGAGCAAACGGG
rnacentral:rRNA from 1 species